GGGGGUGUAGCUCAGUGGUAGAGCGCUCGCUUUGCAUGCGAGAGGACCCGGGUUCGAAACCCGGCACUUCCA
rfam:Schistosoma mansoni strain Puerto Rico chromosome 1, complete genome